CCUACGGGAGGCUGCAGUGGGGAAUAUUGGGCAAUGGAGGCAACUCUGACCCAGCAACGCCGCGGGAAUGAUGAAGGUCUUCGGAGGGUAAAGUUCUUUUCUAAGGGAAGAAGAAAGUGACGGUACCCUAGGAAUAAGCCUCGGCUAACUACGUGCCAGCAGCCGCGGUAAUACGUAGGAGGCAAGCGUUAUCCGGAAGGACUGGGCGUAAAGGGUGCGGAGGUGGUUUGACAAGUUAGUAGAGCAACUCCGGAGCUCAACUUCGGAACUACUACUAAAACUGUUGGACUUGAGUGCAGGAGAGGCAAUCGGAAUUCCUAGUGUAGCGGUGUAAUGCGUAGAUAUUAGGAGGAACCCCAGUGGCGAAGGCGGUUUGCUAGACUGUAACUGACACUGAGGCACGAAAGCGUGGGGAGCAAACAGGAUUAGAUACCCCAGUAGUC
rnacentral:rRNA from 1 species